rnacentral:misc_RNA from 1 species
CUACACAUAGUAACAUCGCGGAUCCCAAACGCGACAGACGUCUUUGUGUCAUGAAACCACGUGUUUCGUAUCUCGCUACAGUAAACAAAACCGCGAGUGGUAAUAAUUCAUAGUGAUCCUCAAAAGAACCGAGUUGUAUUCUCGACUUGGAAGUGGUUAAUACCCGUGAUUGCCACUUUUUAUAACCGUUUAAUUUAACAUUGUAACUGUGAUACCUUAGUAAGCAAGUUCGCGGAACAAUGAACAAGUAAAAACCUCAAGAUGCUUGCUGCAGUGACUAUUGUGACGGUAUUUAUUGGAAGCACAAUCGCUUUUGGACUCGACGUAUGCGAUGUUAAGAACAGUGUGGACUUAAGUUCGGGCACUCGGAUGUCUAAUGGAGAUAUUCACUUCAAUGGUAUACAGUACGAAGAAAAAGAUUACUACUUCGAUAACAUUACAGGAGUUGAAAGAGGUUGUAUUUGCUCAAAGCAAUUAUGUAUAAGAAAAUGCUGUCCUCACGGUCAAGCAUUUGAUAUUAAUAAAAAAGUUUGUACGGACACUGCAGCUGCAUUCGAUCCUCCUAUAUGGAAUAGUCAUAAAGUACUCCAAGGCGUGAAGGCUGCUGAACUGUUUCAUUAUGUGUACGGAACCCCGAUAUGUGUGAAUGAUACAGUCAGGAUCCGCGUCAAAAAAAUAACAAAUAAUAUUCACCUGAAAAACGAUGGAAGAUUGUUCAUCGAGCUGUCUAACUCAAUACCGCCGUAUACUCUGCGAGAACCCGACAAGUACUGCAUCGAUACGUUUGUCUCCGAAGAUGUAAAUGGGGUGAAAAAGUCCCAAGUCGAUGCGCUGGUCUGUUUCGCCGACGAAGCUGGAGGGCAUCAUUAUGCUUUGAGCAGCUCAUGUAUGUUAAUUUCCUGCGUGUUUAUCCUGGCGACGGUGGGGGUCUACGCAUGGUUACCGGAACUGCGCAACUUGCACGGCAGGGUGCUGAUGGCAUACCUCCUGUGCUUGUUUGUGGCGUUUGCAUUUAUGGCCACUAUGCAGAUUCUGCUGCCGUUGAAGAUAAUCACCAGACCUUAUUGCAUUGCAAUGACGUUCAUCAUCUACUUCUCCUUGGAGUCGGCAUUCUUUUGGCUCAACGUGAUGUGUUUCGACAUCUGGUGGACUUUCAGUGGUAAACGUGGCAUUUCAUUCGAGAAGCUGUCUACCAAGGCCCGGUUUUACGCGUACGCUCUAUAUGCCUUUGGGAUACCAACAGCGCUGACAAUUCUGCUAGCAGCACUGGAGUUCUCCGACCUGCCGUUGCAUCCACUGCUACCUCAGUUGAGACAACAAGGCUGUUUUAUAUAUGGUAACGGAAGACUGAUAUACCUGUAUGGACCGCUAGUUGUGCUGUGCACAGCGAACCUGAUCUUUUUCAUACUGACAGCAGUGAAAAUCGCGCAGAUUAAGAAACAGACCUCCGUACUAAAGUCCAAAGAGAGCUCUACUCACGAUAGCCAGAGAAAUGACAAACAGAGAUUGUUCCUGUACAUCAAACUCUUCAUCGUGAUGGGUGUGAACUGGCUACUCGAGGUGAUCAGCGCACUGUACCCGGAGCUUGAUAACUUCUGGAGAUUCACCGACGCAUACAACGUUCUCAUAGGCCUGAUAAUAUUUAUAAUAUUCGUCUGCAAGAGGAAGAUAUUCAGACUUAUAAAGAAGAGGAUCAAAGACAAAUUUCAACGUCGUCAGAGUGAAGCUGGAAAUAUGACUGUAGUCAAUAAGAAUUUAACGCAUUGGAAACAAAAUCCGGAAAUUAGAACAAGUAUUGAGACGAUAAGAACAACAUGUGGCCACGAUUCUGAUAGUAUCAAGAACUUUAAAACAGCGCAUUUAUAAAUUAAUUGUAUACAUAAUAUAAAAAAAUAGCAAAAUAUUUUUCUUAGUUCUGUAAUUAUUUCGUUAUUUUAAUAUAUCGAAAUACUUUACAUUGUUAAAAUAAGAGUUAACAUAAUUAAUAAACAGAAAGCAUUAGAAGACAAUUUACCAAAAUAUGAGGUUAUUAUUACACGAGAAUAUGUCUAAAUAACUAUAGAAAAUAUAGAACACUUAGUGAAGAAUUUACACGAGAAAAUAAAAAUAACGAAAAAGGCGAAGAUAGUAUAUGAGAUGCAGUAUAACAAAUAUAUUGCAUGAAAUAAGUUAUGACAAAAAAUCGAUAAUAGGCAUACCAAAUCCAUACAAUAUCCAUGUAUAAAUGUAAAUACUGCAGUCUGUGGUAUUUCAGAAAACUUAAUGAUUUAGAAAGUUCAAAAUCAGGAAAGAUGAACUGGAAAAUGAUGACUAUGAAUCGAAUGUGGCUAUAACAUAUGCAUAUCACAAUUGAAACUAAGAAACAACUGGCGUUGUGACUAUAAGAUACAAGCAACUCCGAGGCGAACCAAUGUCCAGAACUCAGACAACGAUGUCCUCUCGAACUGCAUCCACGAAGGAUGAUAUGCAAAUGAAUUCAAUCAAGUUUCACAGCAAGUGAAAAGAUGGAGAUUUAACUGGUUAAUAGUUUGUUUUUAUAGAACACAAUAAAAAAGGUGAACAAACAUAUGCUUAAUUCAACUACAAGACAGUCUACUAAUGCCCAAUAGUAGAUAGUACGAAAAAAAAAUCUAUUACUUUACUGAAUGUUUCAAUUUGUCACUAAUCUCACUUGGAGAGUGUUCCUGUGACAAUUUUAAUAAAACUUGGUCAACUUUUUAUUAAGUUAUAUUGAAACAAACUAUAGUAAGAUAUAUUGACUUUAAUAAGAGACUAAUUAUGCCAUAUUCGUAUGUCGACUUGAGUUUUGAGAUGUUUUACAAUAAUAAAUUGUUAACAAGAGAAGAAAAUUAUUUUCGAAAAAAUGAAGUAAUGUAAAAUAAAUUCUUGGUUUCUAGUAAUUAAAUGCCACUUCGUUAAGAUCACUUAUUAUGUUGAUUAUCUACAGCUUAGACCUGAUGUUUUUAACAGGCGAUUAAGUAUUGUUAUAAUUAAAACUAUAUUAAAGUUAGAAAUCUAUUAAAAUUGUAAACAGUAAUAAAAUUUUU